GGAUCAGAUCUGUCUGAAUCACUGACUCAACCACACAAAAGCUCUUCCUCUGAGAGAGUUUGUGCAGCAUCAGCCUCUGGAAGGACAACACCACAGCUGAAAUUAGACAUGCAUCCCCUAUUGAUCGGCAUAGUGACAGCCAACACAAGUUUGACUAUUGUCUACUGGAACUUUCUUCUGUCUCAGGUUUUCUGCAAGAAGAUCAAAGAUGCUCCACCACCUGAGGAAAUUCCCGUCUGAGUUGAGGCUUUGGUCGUGACCCUGGGGAUGAAGAGAAAGAAGAAGAACCACCAAAAUCCAUCUUUGGGAAAGUAGGGAUGAAGGAGAGAAAAUAAGAACAAAGGAGGAACAGACUGCCAUUUGACCCAGAAGUGGACGGAUAGAAAUUGUGCCAGGAUUUAAAUCUUCUGUAUUUGACUAAUCACGAGGUUAAAAAGGUGUCACUGAAUAGAUUUAUGAACAACCCUCUCUCUCUCUGUCAUCCAUUAGUCCCUCCCCCCCCCAAAUCUAUCUUUCUUUGUCAGUGCUGCUCAUUUCCACCUGUUCUAAGUUACCAAAAAAUACAAAGCUUACGUGUUUGAAGUCUGUAGGCGGGAGAUGUUUUUUAUUUGUAUUUUCGUGUUCGUUUCACUAUAUUUAGCAAAUAGCUACACAGGUUUUGUUAAAAUCUAUCUGUCGUACUCUUCUAUAUGUGUCUCAUUCCCUCAUUAAUAAAUGAAUACAACAUA